GACGUAGGGCGCGAGCGUUGUCCGGAUUUAUUGGGCGUAAAGAGCUCGUAGGCGGUUCGACAAGUCGGGUGUGAAAACUCCGGGCUCAACCCGGAGACGCCACCCGAUACUGUCGUGACUGGAGUCCGGUAGGGGAGUGGGGAAUUCCUGGUGUAGCGGUGAAAUGCGCAGAUAUCAGGAGGAACACCGGUGGCGAAGGCGGGUCUCUGGGCCGAUACUGACGCUGAGGAGCGAAAGCGUGGGGAGCAAACAGG
rnacentral:rRNA from 1 species